rnacentral:rRNA from 1 species
AUUGAACGCUGGCGGCAUGCCUUACACAUGCAAGUCGAACGGCAGCACGGGAGCAAUCCUGGUGGCGAGUGGCGAACGAGUGAGUAAAGUAUCGGAACGUGCCCAGUCGUGGGGGAUAACGUAGCGAAAGUUACGCUAAUACCGCAUCCGAUCUAUGGAUGAAAGCGGGGGAUCGCAAGACCUCGCGCGAUUGGAGCGGCCGAUAUCAGAUUAGGUAGUUGGUGGGGUAAAGGCUCACCAAGCCGACGAUCUGUAGCUGGUCUGAGAGGACGACCAGCCACACUGGGACUGAGACACGGCCCAGACUCCUACGGGAGGCAGCAGUGGGGAAUUUUGGACAAUGGGCGAAAGCCUGAUCCAGCCAUGCCGCGUGCAGGAUGAAGGCCUUCGGGUUGUAAACUGCUUUUGUACGGAACGAAAAGGUUUGGCCUAAUAAGCUGAGCUCAUGACGGUACCGUAAGAAUAAGCACCGGCUAACUACGUGCCAGCCGCCGCAGUAA